rnacentral:rRNA from 1 species
GACGAACGCUGGCGGCGUGCUUAACACAUGCAAGUCGAACGGAAAGGCCCUGCCUUGGUGGGGUGCUCGAGUGGCGAACGGGUGAGUAACACGUGAGUAACCUGCCCUUGACUUUGGGAUAACUUCAGGAAACUGGGGCUAAUACCGGAUAGGAGCUCCUGCUGCAUGGGGGGGGUUGGAAAGUUUCGGCGGUUGGGGUUGGACUCGCGGCUUAUCAGCUUGUUGGGGGGGUAGUGGCUUACCAAGGCUUUGACGGGUAGCCGGCCUGAGAGGGUGACCAGCCACAAUGGGACUGCGAUACGGCCCAGACUGCAACGGUGGGCAGAGGUGGGAAGUAUUGCACAGUGGGCGGAAGCCUGAUGAGGCGACGCCGCGUGCGGAAUGACCGCCUUCGGGGUGUAAACCGCUUUCGCCUGUGACGAAGCGUGAGUGACGGUAAUGGGUGAAGAAGCACCGGCUAACUACGUG